rnacentral:rRNA from 1 species
AUCAACUUUCGAUGGUAGGAUAGAGGCCUACCAUGGUGGUAACGGGUAACGGGGUGUUAGGGCACGACACCGAAGAGGGAGCCUGAGAAACGGCUACCACAUCCAAGGAUGGCAGCAGACGCGCAAAUUACCCAAUCCCGAUACGGGGAGGUAGUGACAAUAAAUAACAAUACGGGGUUCUUUAGGAUUUCGUAAUUGGAAUGAGUACAAUUUAAAUCUCUUAACGAGGAACAAUUGGAGGGCAAGUCUGGUGCCAAUAGCGUAUAUUAAAGUUAUUGCAGUUAAAAAGCUCAUAGUUGAAUUUUGGGGUCAGUAGGUUGGUCAUGCCAUUGGUAUGUACUGGUCUCACUGAUUCCUCCUUCCUGAUGAGCCGUAAUGCCAUUAAUUUGGUAUUGCGAGGAAUCUGGACUGUUACUUUGAAAAAAUUAGAGUGUUUAAAGUAGGCUAACGCUUGAAUACAUUAGCAUGGAAUAAUGAAAUAGGACGUUCGAUCUUAUUUUGUUGGUUUCUAAGAUUGACGUAAUGAUUAAUAGGGAUAGUUGGGGGCAUUAGUAUUCAAUUGUCAGAGGUGAAAUUCUUGGAUUUAUUGAAGACUAACUACUGCAAAGCAUUUGCCAAGGAUGUUUUCAUUAAUCAAGAACGAAAGUUAGGGGAUCGAAGACGAUCAGAUACCGUCGUAGUCUUAACCAUAAACUAUGCCGACUAGGGAUCAGAUGAUGUUAAUUUUUUAAUGACUCAUUCAGCGCCUUACGGGAAACCAAAGUGUUUGGGUUC